rnacentral:rRNA from 1 species
GACGAACGCUGGCGGCGUGCCUAAUACAUGCAAGUCGAACGCAGUGGGGACGGGUGAGUAACACGUGGGUAACCGCCCAUCAGAGGGGAGAACACUUGGAAAAAGGUGCUAAACCGAUACUGAUGGAUGGACGCGCGGUGCAUUAGCUAGUGGGUGGGGUAACGGCUCACCAAGGCCACGAUGCAUAGCCGGCCUGAGAGGGUGAUCGGCCACACUGGGACUGAGACACGGCCCAGACUCCUACGGGAGGCAGCAGUAGGGAAUCUUCGGCAAUGGGCGCAAGUCUGACCGAGCCACGCCGCGUGGGUGAAGAAGGUUUUCGGAUCGUAAAGCUCUUUUGUUAGGGAAGCGUUAUCUGACGAAGAAGCAACGGCUAACUACGUGCCAGCAGCCGCGGUAAUAC